UCAAAAGUUUUUUUUUUUUUUUGGCUAAUUCUCGUGCUUUUCUCCUUGCAAACACCUUGGUAAGUUGUCAGUAGUUUUAUACUGAACUGAAAGCACAUCCAGUUCCCUCAAAAAGGCCCCAAGAGCAACAUUUUGGCCAAUGCUUAUCAUCUUUUUGAAACAUUGGAGAUUUUUGCAAGUCAUCUUUUAACUCUUUAUCAGCCUUAUGGUUAAGAAAAAUUGUCAGGCCCACCGAUAAACCUUCAUUGACCUUGUUCAUAGUUGCUUUUAGUUCAUUUUCACUUGGGGAAGUUUCAGCUUCGAAACUUGACUUUGGUGCUUCCAUACAAUGGGGCAAGUGAGCUAGGGCAAGCUUUUAACUUCUACAAGUAUUCCAGCAUAUUAUGUGCAGUGUCCUAUAAAGAUGAACAACUAGAAAUAGGAUAUGUAAUAUUUCAAUGAUAUUGUUGAGUUAUGAACCUAUAGGCAAGGAACUUUCUUCAAGAUUGGUUGUUGGUUGUUUGGAGGAGCUACAUUGGCCAACUGGACCUUUAGAUGGCUUUUGAGUAGCUUGGUCUUUAACUAUGAACUUUUGGUUGAAUUGCUCCCUCCACUUUUUGCUCAAUAUUUGAAGAGAUUGGGCCUUUUUUAGAAACCUUCAUUUUGCACCUGCUCACACUAGAUCCUCUACUUACAACUGAUCUUGAUUCCUAUAGGUCAAUGGUUAGAAGAUACAAAAAAAAUUCUUAGUCUCGAAAAUUUUACCUCACAUGGAGUCUCCGUUUAUACAUCGACAGUGAGCUUUUGCCUUCAUUCUAGCUUUCUUCAUAGGCGGAGCCACAUCAAAGAUUGGGCAUGGAACAUCUUCUAUUGCAAAAUAUGAUGGAUUGUAGUUAGACCAAUCACGCCUAUAUGAUCGAGUCAAGCAUAAUAUGACUUUAAAUGAUUGGUUGAGCAAGCUCACAAUUAUCACAAAACCAAAGUUGAUACACAGCAAAGUUCCAUUGGUAGUUCCUAACCAUGACAGUCAAUUUCAUUUUCUUCUUUCUAUUCUUCUUAGCACUUGCUAGCAAUCCCAAAUUUGGUUAUGAGGUCAAGGAAGUUUUAACUUGAAAAGUCCCAUAAACCACUCCAAUAAAUAUUGUAACUCUCUGCUUGUCAUAUUCUUGGUCACCUUGGAACCUGUACUUGUAGAUCAGCUCCACUUUAACUAUACCAAGCAUUCUUGGUCAAGAUUUACUUAAACCUAUGGAAACUUUGUAAAGCUAAGAUUUCUCUUCACCAUAUGGUGGGUCAUCAAACAUGACUCCUACGCCAUACAAGGUAUUUGUUAUCAUGGCUUACCUGAACAGGAAGCAAUUUGAGGUUCCUGACCAAAAGAAAAGGGCUUAUGCAAGAAGAUUGUUAUGGAGUGGGAUUCAAAAUCAUGGAAAUUGGAUCAAAUCAAAAAUAGCUAUUUCAUGCCAAAGUUCAUUAUAUUGGGCCUCAACUUGGCUGAGCCAACAUAGAUAAUAUUGGCUUGGAAGAAGCCAUGACCUACUAAGUGUGAAUUUGACCCAAAUAACCAUGUCAUUGGAUUUGGGAAACCUAAGGGGGUCUUUGUUGUGGUUAGGAAACCAUUCAUCAUAAGAGGAAUCAUGUUAAUUAAAAAUAGGUUCCGAUGUGUAUGUUUUAGUUGAUUCGUCCAAAGGGAUAAACAACUUGUAGGUGACUGAAUCUCCUUCUAAGUUCUUCACUUUCUUCAACCGUUGGAAAGGUGUCAUAUCUUCAAAAAUCAGUUUCUUUCCCUUUCUCAUUGGAACAAAAAAUUCAAAGGAAGCAGCCCUUGAAACUUAUAGAGGGAAUUUGGCAAAAAGGAUUUUGCAAGGUGGGGUGAAAAUGACUUUACCUGGGGGUGUUUAAACAGGAAAAUAAAAGUAACUAAAAACAUUAAGCAAUAAGUGAAAGUUAAACAUUAAGCAAUAAGUGAAAGUUAGCAUCACUAAUGGAUUCCAUGCAACUGGAGCACAUGCUCCUUCUUUCACAUACACGUUGGACCCAUACUCCAUAUUUUGAGGAGUAACUGAAAUUUUGAGAGUGUAAGGUGCAUUAUUUUUUAGUGAACCUGGAGUUUUCUAUAAUUAGCCCCUCGUUUUUCAGAAAUAUGGAUUGAACUAUAAUCGUCCCACUUCCUGAAUCAGCCUCGUGUUUUUGUGGACAAGUUAUUCUUCUCCAGGGAUGAUUUGGUCUUAGUAUCCCUUUUAUAGAACUUUCCUUCUGUCCUCAAACCAAUGGCACUAUCCAUAUCAAAUACAUUAAAAUAAAGGAAGGAAUAAAGCCUCACCAGACGCAACCAACUGCUCAAUUAUUUCAACUAAAAGCUCAAAUUGGCCGCUAAACCUUAAACCAUUGUCCCCUAAAAGUUCAAAUACUCAAAACUUUUAGUAUCCAUCACGAACACAUUCAUAAAUAAAUGAAUUCCUGCUCAAUCAUGAAUAACAAUCAAUUAGAACUUUUAGCCAUUAUUUUCCCAUGCUUUUUCAGCAACCAAGCGCAAUGGCAACUCAACCAAACCCCCAGAAUUCAUAAUGAGUAGCCAAAACCCACAAACAAACAUCUAUCGAAAAAAUAUAAGCCCAGUUCAUAAAAGCAAACAAAGCAAGAAAUGGAAUCGAUAAAACAAUUCAACGCAGAGCAACAUUAAACGAAUAAUGAGCGUGAGAUUUUGAUACCUGUACCUAGGGAACAUAGGAGGA
rnacentral:misc_RNA from 1 species